rnacentral:rRNA from 1 species
UACGUAGGGGGCAAGCGUUGUCCGGAUUUAUUGGGCGUAAAGCGCGUGUAGGCGGCCCGGUAAGUCCGCUGUGAAAGUCGGGGGCUCAACCCUCGAAUGCCGGUGGAUACUGUCGGGCUAGAGUGCGGGAGAGGCGAGUGGAAUUCCUGGUGUAGCGGUGAAAUGCGUAGAUAUCAGGAGGAACACCUGCGGUGUAGACGGCUUACUGGACGGUAACUGACGCUGAGGCACGAAAGCGUGGGUAGCAAACAGG